rnacentral:misc_RNA from 1 species
GAUGAAGAACGCAGCGAAAUGCGAUACGUAAUGUGAAUUGCAGAAUUCAGUGAAUCAUCGAAUCUUUGAACGCAUAUUGCGCUCUCUGGUAUUCCGGAGAGCAUGCUUGUUUGAGUAUCAGUAAACACCUCAACUCCCUUUUCUUUUUUGAAAUUGGAGCUGGACUUGAGUGAUCCCAACGCUUUCUUCCAAGAAAGUGGCGGGUUGCUUGAAAUGUAGGUGCAGCUGAACUUUUCUCUUAGCUAUAAGCAUAUCUAUUUAGUCUGCCUAAAAAACAGAUUAUUACCUUUGCUGCAGCUAACAUAAAGGAGACUAGUUCUUGUGCUGACUGAUGCAGGAUUCACAGAGACAGCUUCGGCUGACUUUGUAAACUCGAUCUCAAAUCAAGUAAGACUACCCGCUGAACUUAAGCAUAUCAAAGCGGAGGA